rnacentral:rRNA from 1 species
AUUGAACGCUGGCGGCAUGCUUUACACAUGCAAGUCGAACGGUAACAGGCCGCAAGGUGCUGAUGAGUGGCGAACGGGUGAGUAAUGCAUCGGAACGUGCCCAGUCGUGGGGGAUAACGCAGCGAAAGCUGCGCUAAUACCGCAUACGAUCUAUGGAUGAAAGCGGGGGACCGUAAGGCCUCGCGCGAUUGGAGCGGCCG